rfam:Folsomia candida strain VT population Fcan01_Sc002, whole genome shotgun sequence.
GAGAUCAUACUUCAAAGGAUCAUUUCUUUAGUAUGAAUGCUCAAACCCUUAGCCAACUCGGCGAAGGAACAAACCACGAGGAUGAGACGAAAGCUUCCUCCCCUGAGCGUGAGACGGGCUCAAGUUGACCUCAGGGUCGAUUCGAGUCCACGAUGACCGUUCAGCCUUCUUUUCGGAGGAGGCCGAGGGGGUCGAAGCAGUCUGAGUGGU